AUGGGAGGAGACUUCGUGGAGGCCUACGUGCUCAGGAACGCCUACAAGGAGAAGCUGAGGCGCAUGGACCAAGCCGAAGAGAGCACCAAGGACGCCGCCGGUGCCGCUGGAGAGAAGAAGAAGGCUGCUGCUGGCGGCGGUGGUGGUGCGAGCAGCAGGGGAGGCUUCUUUGGCCUCGUGAAGAAGAAGGUGCACCCCAAACCCAAAGCAGCAGCCGCGGCCACUUCCUCUUGA
rnacentral:rRNA from 1 species